UACGGAGGAUGCAAGCGUUAUCCGGAAUGAUUGGGCGUAAAGCGUCCGCAGGUGGCAAUGUAAGUCUGCUGUUAAAGAGUCUAGCUCAACUAGAUAAAAGCAGUGGAAACUACAUAGCUAGAGUACGUUCGGGGCAGAGGGAAUUCCUGGUGUAGCGGUGAAAUGCGUAGAGAUCAGGAAGAACACCAGUGGCGAAGGCGACACGCUGGGCCGUACCUGACACUGAUGCGCGACAGCAUGGGGAGCAAACAGG
rnacentral:rRNA from 1 species